CAAUAGCGUAUAUUAAAGUUGUUGCGGUUAAAAAGCUCGUAGUUGGAUUUCUGUUGAGGAAGUCCGGUCCGCACUUUGUGCGUGAUCUGGUUCUGCCUCGGCAUCCUCGCGGGGAACGCGCUGCGCUUGAUUGCGUGGUGCGGUAUUCGCGACUUUUACUUUGAGGAAAUUAGAGUGUUCACGGCAGGCUAUCGCCUUGAAUACGUUAGCAUGGAAUAAUAAUAUAGGACCUUGGUUCUAUUUUGUUGGUUUCUAGAACUAAGGUAAUGAUUAAUAGGGAUAAUUGGGGGCAUUUGUAUUAACACGUCAGAGGUGAAAUUCUUGGAUUGUGUUACGACAAACUACUGCGAAAGCAUUUGCCAAGGAUGUUUUCAUUGA
rnacentral:rRNA from 1 species